CUCUCUGUCUCUCUCUGCUUCUCUCUCUGUCUCUGUCUCUCCUUCUCUCUGUCUCUGCGUCUCUCUCCCAGCUGCCAGUCACUUAUCUCCCUCUGGCCGUUCCCAAAUGGUCCUGGUUUCCAGUUUCUUGGCUCAGAGUCUUCUUGUUUUCCUGAGUUUUGCCGACGGCGGAUUGACAGUGACUGACACCAUGCAGAACCCGGUGGCAGGCGGCAGAGAAGGAAACUCAGCUGAAAGAGAAAUGGAGUAAAGAUGUUAACUUAUGUCAGGAGAGCCUGCUGAUUGGUUCUGUCUCGCACGGUAUUAUUUUAAAUCGAUGGCCGCGGCUGCAAAAUCAGAUAAUUUCUCAGAAGACUUGCAUGGAAGCAUAUUCUACGGUUGUUUAUGUUUGAGAGACGGAGGAUUGCAUCAUUACGUCACGGACAUCUCUUGUAGGGUCGGAUGUUGCUUGCUUUGGAGACAUCAUUUCUCGGCAGCGGACUGGAGCGGUGACCCAUGUGUUUGCAGUCCUUGUGUGACGUGCCAUCCCGUUACUAGCUGUUUCUGCUGCUGUUGGGAACCCUGUGCUGCACUCAGCGUGGCCCCCUUCCUUCUGAGUUCGAUCUGGGAGUCGGAGACUAGGACGUUAAACAUUCGGUACAACAUAUAGACUUCUCACCACUACUGAUGGGCAGGAGACUCCCUGGUGAUGGGAAAAUUACACUUUUCCUCCAUCCCCACUCGCCCAGCACCACAGAUCAGCAGCAGCACACUUGUGAAAGAGCUCGGCUGUGGCCACAGGAGCGCAUGGCCCCAUGACCCAGGAUGCACGGACAAGCCCCUGGGAGUGAAACGCCCCGAAAUCCUUGCGUGGUCCUGCUUGCCUUGGAAUGAUAAACUGGCUCGUCUUUUUUUUUUUUUUAUUUUU